rnacentral:rRNA from 1 species
UAAGUGAAUAGUGAAACCUGGUGGCUCAACCAUACAGACUAUUAUUCAAACUGUUAAACUCGAGAAUGGUAGAGGUAACUGGAAUUUCUUGUGUAGGAGUGAAAUCCGUAGAUAUAAGAAGGAACACCGAUGGCGUAGGCAGGUUACUGGGCCAUUUCUGACGCUAAGGCACGAAAGCGUGGGGAGCGAACCGGAUUAGAUACCCGGGUAGUCCACGCCGUAAACGAUGGAUACUA